rnacentral:lncRNA from 1 species
CUCCAAUAUGGCCAAGCCUGAGGUGCCACAAAUAUCUUUGGUUUAUCUCAUCUCUGGAUCUUUUGGAUCCUUUGGCACUCACUUCUUGCUCGGUAACAUUCACAGAUACAUCCAUAUGUAAAUGAUAGAGACUGUCGAUCAUGAAACCACGUGCGACUAUUUUAUUUCUUAAAUAAAUAGAACAGCAGUCUUUGUCAAAUGUAAAAACAUGACCUUCCUGUGCUAGGCAUGAAACAGAAAUCAAGUUUCUGCUAGCAACAGGUACAUAAUAGCAGUCUCUAAGUAUUAAACUAAAUCCAGACGGCAGUCGCAGAUGGUAGGUGCCCACAGCUACAGCAGCAACUUUUGCCCCGUUGCCAACCCGAAGGGUUACCGCACCUUCCG